GGGGAUUUAGCUCAGAGGUAGAGCACUUGCCUAGCAAGCGCAAGGCUCUGGGUUCGGUCCCCAGCUCCG
rnacentral:tRNA from 1 species